UAUUGGGAAAUGCAACCAGAAGCUGUGCCUAGACUGUUUAAAUCAUUGCCUUGCUUCUUCCACAAUGUGCCCCAGUGAGCUGUUUGCUCCUGUCUUUGUAUGAAUUGGAGUCUCAACCCUUCUAGAGGUGGUCCCUCAACCAGGACACCCUACACAGGACAGUGUGAAGAAGAAAUGAUGGAGUCCUAAAGGCUGUCUCAAGAAGCAGCUUCUGAAAUUGAUGGGAAUCUUGGCUUCAUUAGAAGCAACCUGUCUUCAGAAAUACCUGCGUGUGUGACCGUUUUCACAAAGAUGUUCACAGAAGCAUUGAUGUCAAACGUUAGCCCAUCACUAAGCUUGCUUUUAUAAACCACUGACUGAUCAUAGUACAGAAAACAACUCAGUCAUUGCAAAGAGACACACGACAGAGAGAUGAACCCAAAUCCAAGCUAUCUAUCUAUGAAGCUUAGAUACAGGAGGUAAUACAGUGAGUUUCAGGACUAUAUAUACAAAACAAAUCUUGCUACGCAAACCCUCCUUUCCUCUGUACAUGUGACUUGAUGGGCUAUAAUUGUUUAUUUGGAAUGUGAUUACCAAGUAUCAUAAGGCUACAAAGUGCAUAAGUGGCAAAAACUCGUUCUUUGCAGUUUUGGAGAAGGGAAGUCUGAGACCAGGGUAUCAGCAUGAUUGGGGGCUGGUAGGGACCUCUUCAUUUUGCACUACCAAAUUUUUAUCAUGGGAGUUGGUGGCGAACGUGUUCUCACGACCCCUCCUUUUAUUCUGAGUGCUAAUUCUAUUUGUGAGAGCACCACUCUUAUAACUUGUUUGCCUUUCAAAGCUUCCACUUCCCCAAACCAGAGUAUUAGGGUUAGGGCUUCAAAAUAUGCAUCCUGGGGGAGACAUCCUAUUUAGCCCAUAGCACAUACAUGUGAAAUCUGCUUCAUCUGGACUUCUGGAGAGUUAUGAAAGUCAGUGACCCUCCUUGCAGAAUGCAGGACAGAGUCUGCAAAGCUUGAGGAAGGGGAGUGGGGAGCCGGUGGAGUGCUGUGUAACACAGUGGGCACGUAUAGACAGCUGGCAGACCAUAAAGCCCAGGAAGAGGAGCAACACCAAAAGGUGCCGGGAAGAGAACGAUUGUAAGAGAACGAUUACUGUAUGAGCUUCAAGAUGCUUCCUACAUUCUUAAGGAAGUGACCGUGUUUUUGUCAGAGGUGGGAAUGGUGGGAAAGAUGGCUACAAGGCGAAGUGGACCUCCAUGCACAGCUAUGCCGGCUUCUGUGUUGAUGAGGAAGUCGUCUUUUAUUAUGUGGAGGACUCUUAUAAAGAUCCUGUAUGUUCAUGAGGAAAAUGUAUGUCAGAAUCUGCCCACACUGACAAUAAGCCUGGAGGA